GAACAGUAAAAAGGGUUUAUUUUGGUAUUUCAUCAACAAAAGGGUUCUUGGGUUUUCAUCGACACGACGCCGAUCCUCAAUCACCAACCAUCUUAUUGCCCAUAUACAACUGAGACAGAACGAGAAAGAUGUGAGAUAAGGGAGACGAUGACGGAGAUGGCUGCAAAAGUUCCAGUCGUUAGUGGCGGCGGCGGUUAGGGUUCCGUCAUGAAACAUGGUAUCAGCAGUCUUUUCUUUAUCAGAAUCGCUAUCGGGUGGGCUAGGUUCCAGGGUUCUGGCCGCCGUUCAACUGAAGGUAAUGACGAUUAAGAAGGCAAUGAUGGAGGUUCUGGUUAUAGGGAUGGCCGUCACUUCAGAAACGAACUCCGGUCACUCAACUAGGUUUCCAGCAAGCUUACGGCGUCUUUUUUACACUGUAAGUGUAAGUUUGGUUUUCUUGAAGGUUCAAGGACCGAUGAUGAUGGUAUCGGGCAAGAAAGUGAUUAGAAGAUAACCUUGAGGGCAGGAUCAGCAUGUGAUCAGGUUCAAAUGUUGUAGCAGGUUUGCUUGCUUUCAUUAUCAAACGCAUUGAACAGUAACGCAGGCAUUUUAGGGUUUUAAUACAUCUCACUUUCCACAUCCUGCUAUCUUUCCUUCAUCUCACGUGUGCGAUAGAGAGAGAGAGAUGGUGCAGGGAGGACUCCACCGCCUUAGAGCGAGAGAAAGAUGCCAACGACAGCCGGAGGAGAGAGACCAGAGAAGAGAAGGAAGGAAGACAAACGACGGCCGGAGGAGAGACGACGGGGUAUAAACGUUUUUAGCGUUACAAGUGUACAGUGAGUUGUUCUGAUUUCUUCCUUAGUUGCCGCGGACAGGAUUUGCAGGGCAGGUGCAGGUGUUAAGUUGUUCUGCAUGUAUGUGUUCUUUCAUGUUCCAGAAUGCUUGAUUUAUUGUUUAUUGAAUGUUGGUUGGGUUUGUGACCUGGAAUUAUUGAAUGUGUGCUCUUUUGCUUCAAUUUGAAACCUGUUCAUCUGUGAUUUCAUGAGGUUAGACUGAGUUGUUUUGAAGCACUUUGAGGGGUAAAUGUACUUUUUCCAUACUUGAAUGUGUGCUCUUUUGCUUCAAUUAAAUUGUUUUAAGAGCACUUUUUAGGGGUAAAUCUACUUCUUUUGCCUUUAGUUUUAAACUGGUUUGGAUCUUAUUCUGAUAGGUAGGAUUCGAUUGCUGACUUUUGUUUAGUGUAUAUUUAAGACAUGGGGUUUAUAAAUUGAAGUGGGCUUAAGUAUGCAUGUUUGAUAAGCCUAAAAAAUGAAGUGCUCUUAGAAAUUUUUUUUUGGUCAAUUACCUGUCACUAAGCUACAGAAUGUAACCGAAAAGUCAAUAAUUUUCAGGUCCAGUCUGCCUAAGUGGAAAAAGAGAGAUUUAGUUCACCUAAAAUGAGUACGGGUAGUCUGGUGUUAUGCAAUUGAAUGUGUUUUUAUUAUGGAAGGUGCGUUUUGUGUCUCAAAAUUUGAGGAAAUUGCAGUUAACAUGCUUAUAGAAAUACACAUUGUUAUUGUAUGCUUUUACUCACACUCACUGUUAGAAAAACACACUAAUAACAAAAUUUCUAUGUACUCAUAGAAAUACACAUUGUUGGUGUGUCCGUGCGUGUCGCGACCUGACUUUCUAUUAGACUCUAGACCCCGCUUACCCGUGACCCAUACCCAGUGUGUAAACCCGAUUAGCCCUACAAAACAUAAAUAAAAAAAUUACAAGUCUAAAACACCUGCUACUUUGACGCGUUCAAACCCGCGACCCGACUUUAUAUUCGAUUCUAUGAACCGCUCACCCGUGACCCAUAUCCAGUGACCAAACCCCAUGCUAAUGUAAAACAAAGAGAGUUGCGAGAAAAAGAAUGUUAACGAAAUAGCUCAAGUAGAUCAUUCCAUUUUCUCAUGAAUAAAAACUAUUAAUUUUAAUUAUAUGUUUGACCCAUUUGUUUUUUUCAACACUACCAAAGAAAUUGACUUGGUUGUGGUUUGUUAGAAAAUUAGCUUCAAAGCAAAUCAAGAUGAGAAUUAAAAAAAGCCAAGGUGUAGCCGUCGCUUUCUACCCACAGAUGAACGCAGAAGCUACGCCACUGGUCAGAGCUGCUAUGGUGUGUACCCACACCAUCUAUACCAGUAUUCUUCUGCGUGAAAGGUGGAAGUAGAACAAAAGAAAUAGAUCAAUGGUCGGAUGAAAAUGGGUUCAUUGGGUUCGACUCGAGAGCUAAAGGAAUACUCGAAGGGGUUUUUUGACUAGCGGGUUGGCGCCGUAAGUUCUUAACCUGUUGUAGCCGUGUCUAUGUUGUUGACACAUUGCUGAAUGUUAUUUUUUUCAAAUUAUUUUUAGUUAUCGUCAUAUAAUAAAACAUAUCGCAUUCGAAUUA